UAGGUGAGAGAGAGAGAGAGAGAGAGAGAGAGAGAGAGAGAUCCAUAUCCUAGGAUGGGUCCACGAAAGCUCUCCCUCUAAUAUUAUACACAAGUUCUCUCUCUCUCUCUCUCUCUCUCUCUCAAUAUACUAAGAA
rnacentral:miRNA from 1 species